GGUCUGAUGGCCGAGUGGCUGGGGCGCUCUGCACUCGACGGAUGUUUGCAGUGGUUCGAAUCCACUUUAAACCG